rnacentral:lncRNA from 1 species
AUUCAUUAAACACUUAUCUUGGUUUAUAGUUGGGUUGGUUCACUUAGAAUAAAUAGAAGACUGGUUUUCUUUAAUAAAAGAUCAGUCUUUUUUUUUUUUUAAAGGCUUUCAAAUUUAAGUAAAAACAGAUACCUUUACAAAGAUAAGACUAAACAAUCUUAUAGUGAGAAAAAGCUUGCAUGAAACACACUUCAUGAUAUAGAAGAGCUUAUACCUAAGGAAACACUUAGGACAUGACCAACAAAGAGAUCAUUUGGUUUAAUAUUCUUAAACCCGGUUGGGCUAUUUUGUGGGUUAAUUAGGUUAAUUCUAAAGAGCGGUAAAUUUAUCAUAGAGUCUUACCGGAUAAUAGUGUAUGCAUGAGCGGGUUUCGUUAUUGUUUACUUGUGAUUCAUUUUCAAAUAAUAAAAAGAACCUAAUUUUCACGUUAACUUAUAUGGUGUUUGGUGUAUGCAUAGGUAAGACAUUGUUAUAUAUUUGACAACAAACCAAGCUGAGUUGUUGUUUGAGUCUCAUUCAUGUUCCAAAUAAUAACCAAACCUCUAAUGAUUUUGUCCGAUUCAGAACAAAGGCUUACUUACCCUCUCAUGCACAUGCCAUUAAAUCUUUUUAUGAUAAAAACAAAACAAAAAUCAAUUCAAUCCAUAUAAAAGCAAAAAAAAAUUAAAAAAAAUCGUUUCUUUCAUAAAGGUUGAAUGUUUAAAGCCAAUUUACGUAGAUUAGGAAUAUACCUAAUUGCGGACUAUACCAUUAAAAUCAGAAGAAACCGAUAAAUAAUAUUAGCUUUCGAGUUUCAAUCAAUACAAAGUGUAGUAUACAAAAUAAUAUAUCAUUUUGGUAAAAAAAAAUUAAAAAUGUUUUAAACCGACCUGGACAUUAAACCGGACUGUUUUUGGUCAUUGAGUUAUUGGAUAGACCGUGGUAUAC